AUUGAACGCUGGCGGCAUGCCUAACACAUGCAAGUCGAACGGUAACAGGCCUUCGGGCGCUGACGAGUGGCGGACGGGUGAGUAAUGCGUAGGAAUCUGCCCAGUAGCGGGGGAUAACUU
rnacentral:rRNA from 1 species